GGAAAGUUGCAAAGAACUUUGAAGAGAGAGUUCAAGAGGGCGUGAAACCGCUUAGAAGUAAACGGGUGGAGCUGUCAUUAACUCUGUUGGAUUCAGCCUCUCAAACGAUAGAUAAUUUACGACUGAUCGCAAGACAAGCGUGGGUUUAUUCUGUCUAUGAGGGGUGCACUUUCAAAAGAGUUGCGUCACGACCGAUAAGUUUGCUGGCAAAGACUGGUUUAUUGCCGACUGCAACUUGUUGCAGAGCCCCAUUUACCAGUUCAGUCCGAGAUAGACUUAUCGGGAAAACACCGCGCCCGCUUGCCUCAUGCAUUGCCGUUUCUGGGUCGUUUGAAAUUCUGAGUUGUGCUUGCACGACUUGGUAACCCUCGAUUCUCAUAACGGUAGUGUUUUGAUGUGGCGCAUAUGGUCAGUGGCGUCCGCGUCAGCGUCCCACCCGACCCGUCUUGAAACACGGACCAAGGAGUCUAACAUGUGCGCAAGUCAUGGGGUUGCAAAACCCAAAGGCGUAAUGAAAGUGAAGGUCAAUUCAGUUGAUCGAGGUGGGAUCCCUAGUUUACUGGGGCGCACCACUGUCCCAUCGCAUCUGCUUGUCAGAGCGGUGGCGAAAGAGCGCACACGUUGGGACCCGAAAGAUGGUGAACUAUGCCUGAGCAGGAUGAAGCCAGAGGAAACUCUGGUGGAGGUCCGUAGCGGUUCUGACGUGCAAAUCGAUCGUCAGACUUGGGUAUAGGGGCGAAAGACUAAUCGAACCAUCUAGUA
rnacentral:rRNA from 1 species